rnacentral:pre_miRNA from 13 species
UUCAGGGCUAAACAGGGCCUGCGCUGGUUUUUGCCGCGGUGAUAUUCCAACGUCAUGAUUAUCACCGGGUGAAAAUACAGCACAGGCCCAAUCCG